UUCACUCAAAUUCAAAAUUCCCUUCUCUCUCUCUCUCUCUCUCUCAAACACCAACGGUCGAAUUCCACCUUUCUCUCAAACACCAACGGUCGAAUACCACCGUUCUUUCUCUCUUACGAACACGAACACCACCACCACCACCACCACCACUCUCUCUCAACACCACCACCACCACCACCACCGCCACUCUCUCUCACAAACACCACCACCAUUCUCUCUGUCUCUGUCUCCACCACCAUGGGUAUUAAGGGCCCAAUGCCUCCUAACACCUUAAGGGUGUCGAACAUCGGUGAGGAUGUCUCCGAAGAAGACCUACACCGACUGUUCUCAAAUUUUGGGCGGUUGGAAUGCAUCGAAUUCGAAACGUCUACUUGCGCCUUGGUGAAAUUCAUUAACUUUUACCACGCAAGGGAGGCAUUAGAAAAUCUGCAGGACACCAAAAUGGAGGGAAGGGAAUUGACUAUUGUAUGGAACGAAGUUCAAACGCCGUCCAUUAGUUCUAAGGUUUGGAUUAGAAUUGAUGGACCUUUCCUUGAUGACCAGGAAUUGAAUGACCUGUUUUCUGUCUAUGGAUUUGUCCGCCAAUGCGAGUUUUCUGGACGUAGUGGCAAGAUGAGAGGUGCUGUAUCAUUUGAGCUAGAUAGCGCGGCUGAUUCUGCUGUGCAUGAUCUGAAUGGUACAACAAUAUAUGGCAGAAAAUUCUAUGUCGCUAAAUUUGUGAGAAAUAUGGGGGAUGUUGUGGCGGCCUUAGAUCAUACAGCAGCUCAAGAGCCAAUUAAAUUUGCGUCCAUCUACAAGUUUGAAGGCAUGGAACUUGAAUUCGUUGCUGGCAUUGAAAUGGACUCUAUCAGGACUGUAGCUGAUUUCCUUCUAGUGCUGCAUGACUUGUGGGGCUCACCAUUAGCAGUGGGGUUAAGCCUAAAUUGUCCUUGGCCCGGUUAUCAUGCGAGGUACUAUCAUGCAAAUAGCAGGACUUACGAGCCAGUCCUUGUGGAAGAGGAAGGUUUCUUAUCCAAUGUUGAGGGCUUGAAAGGGGUGCAACAUGUAGUUCUCUUAUCUCAGUUGUCUGCUUAUAGAGGUUCUGGUGGCAUUCAAGCUCUCAUGAAAAGCAAUGCAAGAAAAUUAGCUGAGCAAGAUGAAUCGUUGUUGAUGGCCUCAGGAAUCCCUUACACUAUCAUCAGGGCUGGAUUGUUACAAAGCACUCCAGGUGGACAACAAGGUUUUAGCUUUGAGGAGGGUAGUGCUGCGAGAGGAAAUCUUAGCAAGGAGGAUGCUGCCUUUAUUUGUGUGCAAGCACUUGAUGCAGUCCCACAAAGAGGAUUUAUAUUUGAGAUGAAUCAAUCCUGCCUGGCAUGUUUCAUGCAUUGGACCAGCCGUUGAGUUCUAGGUUCCUGUCUAACAUAUGGUCAUAUACACUUCUUUGAAGGUAAAACAACAAAGACGGAGUCAUAGCUAUGAGAAGUCAUCGACAAAUUGGUGGUCAAUGGAGAUGAAAAGAUUUCAGAUUGGCAAGAGUGUAUGGCUAGAUUGAUGGAGAAAGCUGGGCAACAGCUUCAAUAAUAACACCCAAACCAUGCUAAAAAAUGUGCCAAUCAUUUGAUGUUUAUUUGUUUUUCUUUGUUCUUGGCAGUGUUCUCAUGAAAUGUUUUGCCAGAGAAAAGGGCAUUACAAGUGAGUUUGUUUUACACAUGAACUGCAUAACCAUUAACCAGUAAUGAUUCAGAGAACAUAAGUGUUAGUGCGAAAUUUCUGAUAUGCAGAAAUUUGAUGCUCUCUCAUGCAGAAAUUUCAGCAC